CUAUGACCUGGUGCACAACUUUAGACACCAUCAUCCUGGAGCAGCACUGCACCCUCACUAGCCAGAGUGUUGGUGACACCCUCAAGGCCAAGGCCAUGUUCAAGACUUCGGACUUCAGUGAUGCACUUGUGCUGGGCAAGUCUCCCCAGGGCCUCGGUGCAUGGGCGCUGUCCAUCCUUUGGUGCUGAAGCAGCCAAGCGGCCCAAACCUACCCGGCUGCCUCUUAGGAUAUGACUGCACAGCCAGUGGCCUCUACUAGAUCCUGUACAACUUCACAAGACACCCAGACACUGCGAGUGCUGCCAGCACGUGCUGCAAGAGUCCUGAGGGACCACAAUCCUGAAGACAUUGAAUGGUGGUUGCAGGGCCUCAUGGAUGUUCCCCAGCCCCUCUCAUUGGCUCUGCUCCGGGUGGUGAAGGGGGAUAACGUUUCUGUCAAUUCUGCCAUUAUUGCCUAGCAUGAAAAGGAGCGUAGCCCAGAAGCAGGGCCUGGUGCCCAGCCUGCCUAACAAGGGAGAAUUUGUAGGCUUUGUGGACAGAUCUCGGAGUCCAUAUCUAUCACCCACUAACUUGAUAUGAGACAUUAGUAAAAUCAGUUCUCUUUUCUGAACUACA